AUUGAACGCUGGCGACAUGCCUUACACAUGCAAGUCGAACGGCAGCACGGGUGCUUGCACCUGGUGGCGAGUGGCGAACGGGUGAGUAAUACAUCGGAACAUGUCCUGUAGUGGGGGAUAGCCCGGCGAAAGCCGGAUUAAUACCGCAUACGAUCUACGGAUGAAAGCGGGGGACCUUCGGGCCUCGCGCUAUCGGGUUGGCCGAUGGCUGAUUAGCUAGUUGGUGGGGUAAAGGCCUACCAAGGCGACGAUCAGUAGCUGGUCUGAGAGGACGACUAGUCACACUGGGACUGAGACACGGCCCAGACUCCUACGGGAGGCAGCAGUGGGGAAUUUUGGACAAUGGGCGAAAGCCUGAUCCAGCAAUGCCGCGUGUGUGAAGAAGGCCUUCGGGUUGUAAAGCACUUUUGUCCGGAAAGAAAUCCUUGGCCCUAAUACGGUCGGGGGAUGACGGUACCGGAAGAAUAAGCACCGGCUAACUACGUG
rnacentral:rRNA from 1 species